GGGCAGGGCAAGGGUGGAUCCGGUUCUUGGUGUUAACCACACGACAGGUCAACAGCCUGACUGGUAAUGGCAAAGUGGAUGGGGCUUCCAGUGCCAUUUACUGUGGGAACCACUCACAUCUGGGUAGCAACAGGGUCUGUGCCUUCCAUCGGGGUGCUCUUCCUGAGGGAAAGGAGGGCCACAGGUGACUCUCCUCUUGGGUGUUUUUGGAUGAGAAGUUUUAAACCACUGAUGAGCAGCCCGGCUGGGGCUGGUGUGACACUUGGAAUGUGGUGCACUGAAGGCAUAAGGGAAAUGUUGAAAAAAAACCUGGUCUACGUUGUUCUUUACUGGUUGGUAAGAAGGGUGCCAAGUUUAAUAUAGGCUUGUUCUUCACUGCUUUUUCCUGUUCCCCAGUAAAUUCACUCCAGGGAUGUGAAAGACCUGCCUUUUUAGUUGCUGCUUUUAGCUAUUUUCUUUUGUAGUGCUGACAAUGAUUCACUUGACAUCAGCAAUUUAAAAAUGUGCUACUUGGUUUAACUGAUGCAAUGAGCAACAUACUAACAGGAUCUAAGAUUUUUUUCUGCAAAAAUACCCUUUUUUUCGUAUGCAUUAGGACUGGCAGCCCCUUAUACACAGAAUGGUUUUUCAGUGAGGUGAAUUUGCAUUGAAAGAGUGGAGCAUGUUCACCAUAUGAGUGAUCUCUUGCACUCCUACACCUUCUUUCUCUCUGUUACCUUUGCACAACCUUCCCAAGGUAAGAAGGCAAGAAUAAAAGAUGUAUUAUAUUGUCUUGUGGCUAAACUACAGCUGAAAUUAUGUGGACUGAGGCUCUGUGUAUAUGUUCGAUGCACCCAGUGAUGAUUUUGGGUGCAGCUUCUGGGGGCUGGAAAAAGCUCCAGAAAGCUGCACAGUGAGGAUAACAGCUUUUCUUCAAAAACAGCAAAAACAAAUACUCUUCCAGCAGUUUUCCAGCUCCCAGUGCUCAGAAUCCCUGCCUACAGCCCUGGGUGCCUGGGGUAAGGAAGGGAGUUACUUUAUUUUCUUCCCCUUUUGCUUAUAUCCAUGGCAGAGCUUUUUGAUUUAACCUUAACUGUCUUGGACUGUUGUCCCUGUCAAGCAAACAUGAGUAGAACACCAGAAAAUCUUGAGCUGCUUCCUCCCACAUUUGCCUGGUGUGUUUGUGAGAGAGUGCCAGGUACCACAGGAGUCAGUCCUGUCGUGCACACUGAGGGUGUGGGAAGAGGAUUCUGCAUCCCUCCCAUUCAAGUGCUUGCCUUGGUGAGUCUUGUUACUGUGUCUCACCAAAUGGAAUAUCCUCUAGGUUUUUGUAUUGUUUUCUUUUAAAGGAAAAGGCAAAACAUCUUACUUUCUUUGAAGAAAAUCUUCACAACUCUUUAAAAUCAGGAAAAAAAUAAGCUUGUCAGCAGAUCUGUAUAUCCAUCAUGCAUGUGGGUGCUUUUCUGUUUCAUUAUUCAUCAUUAUUGAGAACAAUUGUUUUUCUUUCUUUUCUUGGAAGUUCAUUUUAUUAGAGUAAAAUUCCAUCACUUUUAAUCAGGAAGGCAAAUGGAUGUGUCCAAAGCAGGUGUAAUUUGUAUAAUCUUUGAAGCAUAUGUGGGGGUUUGUUGGCCAGUUGACUGAAAGAAAAAGGAUUAUUUUUGGCUUGUUCCCUAGAAUCUUGCCUGUUCAGGAGCCAACAAAACUGUAAGAACAAACAGUACAUUAUUUACUUUGCUGACUGGUUCCUAUGGGUAAUUAAUCCAUCACUUAACUUCAGUGAGCCUUAGCAAAGUGCUGCCUACACAGUUGCUUCCCAGAACAAGAGAUUACAGUAAAAUACAAAAACUCUGCAGCAAAACACUAAAUCUGUGAGGCAGGAAUUUUACAGGAAGAGACAUCUUAAGUGUUGGAAUUGAAAUAUCUCAAAUAGCUGGUAGUCAGACAGGCUUAUCCUCAUCUUCCCUGCUGGACCAAAAGCUGGGUAUUGAUGAGUCUCGAGUAUUUUCUGUAGUGCUGGGAGUGAUGUGGGGUGAAGAUUUUGGUGUUCAGUCAUUCACUCUCAUCUUGAGUAGUCUUGUCUUUGUUUUAUUGUAUUCCAAGUGGCAUUUUAUUGGUGGUGGAUAAGGAAACUAUGGUAACCACAUUAUUCUUAGCCUUCUUGGAAGAAGCAGCUUUCGAAUAAACAGAGAAGCUGAAAUACAUUUUUAAGGCGUUUGGCAGACCAAGUGUUGCAUUAAAAAACAAAGCACCCAACCACUGAGUUAUAGUUCAUUUUGGAUUAAGAGAAAAUGGUUAUGAAAUAAAAAAGAAAUCUUUCAUAAAAGUAGAGUAAUUUAUUGGCAGGAAGACUAGAGGGAUAAAAGAAAGCUGGGAAGGUUGUAUAGAGCCCACCUAAGAAGAUCAGCAUGAGAGAGUGUAAGAGCCAAGAAAAAUCAAUCAAAAAGUAAUAAUAAGGGUUUGGGAUGAGAAAAGAGGCAGGGGAAGUAAUUUUCUUGGGGCAUCUGUUUGACAUUCUUUCAAACACAUUCUUGAUGAUUGUGAAAAGAGAUUUUUGUGUUUAGAUUGUACUUGGUGGAGUUUACUUUGUGUUUGGUCCAGAUAAAGACCCUAUCCUCAUGUUUUAUUGCUUCCAAUUAGGUAAAAAUGCAGCAAGAGGAAAAUCUGUACUGCAAAUACAUUGUGAUUCUGUCCUUCCAGUGCUAUAUAAAUGUUACAUAUAGAACAGAUACAGCUUCAAGCUUCAUUAAAUGUGUUAUACGUGUUCUGAAGUUGAGCGCAGGAGGGAUUAGGCACAUGAAAAACCUGCCUGGCUCUCAAGGGACCGUGGUGAUGAUAAGCUGUGUAGUUUUCAUUAAGUAAUUGGCCUGGGUAAGGAAGCUUAGGCCUGUUUGCCUGGAAUUGUCACAUGUGUACCGAGGGUUUGGGAUGUCCUGCUGUGCAAAGGGCCCCUCUGGCUCUGUGCUUUGGAAGAAAAGCCACUGCAGUUCAACACAUGAAGGGUUUAGCCCCUCACAGCCCUCCACCAACAGCACCGUCCCAUCUGGUGAAAGCAAAGCCCCAAGGAUUUGGAAAAUUACAGCAGGACUCCCUAUUUUUCCCUUAUCUCUUAUGGCUCUAUGCCUGAUAAGUUUGGAAUUUGGUAUGUGAAGUCUCGUUCCUGAGAAAUGCACAACUCAUUGGCUUCAGCAGGCUAGGAUUUUAUCUAAGACAUGUUUUAAAAUGGCAGUACUGUAGCGUGUUACAGAUGUUUGUGCUAACCAGUGCUUGCUGACAAGAUACAAUUAAGCUAAUUGGUUCCAACAUAUAUGUUUCUGAUUUCACGAAGCAAUUCAUACAGAAAAACCCUCAGGAAGUGACACAAACAACAUAUCUGCCACAUAGCAAGGGCAGCAGAUAUUGUACUCUCUCUGUCUUACUGGGUCUCUAAAGCAUUAUUCUUGUGCUAAACUCUUUGCUCACACACUGCGAAGUUGUUCUGGGCUCACCCAGUACUCCUCCAAGCACAGUCAAUUUAAACAAGACGGAGUUGUGGACUGGGUUUUUUUUUGUUUGAUUGGGGUUUUUUGUGUUUGGUUGGUUUUUUUUAACCCCCAAAAUAGCAAAACCAAACCAAACCCCAAAACUCAUAAAAUGUUAAUACAGAUGAAAUCAGAACAACAGAUUUUAAUUUUGUUAAACAUGAAUAAUAUCCUUCAUAGUCCUUUUCACUUCAUUUAUCUUCAUUCUAAUUAACAGAAAUCUCUUUUGUACUAUGUGAGGACAAACUUGAAAAGACAGAAACAUUUUAAAAUAGUGCCACAAAAUGUUCUCAUCUCUUUUCUUUUUUCAAAAGAGUACAGAAUAGGUUGCAAAAGCUGUGGUCACAACAGAUUUCCAGACUGGAAGCUUAAUUAGAAUCACUGAUCGUAUGGAAGCAAUAUAUAACAUUCCUGUGUAAUCUGGGAGAAGAGAUUUAUUACCUUUUUUUUUUUUUAUCCUAAUGUGAGUAUAUUGUUCUCCCAACUGAUGCUGAAGCAAAUAGAAACCAGUUAACAAACACCACCACCACCCCCCGCUCUGGAUUUUUUUCUUCUGGGGGCUUAAUUCCUGCUUUUGUGUCCUGCCUGUUCCUGCAGCCAAGGUUGACAACUGUGGCCCAGAAGCAGCACAUAUGAUUUAUUUGUGGAAUACUGUAUAAACCUCAGUACUGUCAAGGACCAGAAAUAAUGUUUCCCUGUGGACAUAAAUCUUUACUGGAUCCUCGUUUUUGGUCCCAAGUGCUUGCAUAACUUUGUGUAGGGCUCAGAUGGGAAUGUUCAGGAUAUGGAGUCAGAAUUGUAAUUUCUUUUACUGCCUGACGGAUUUAGUUUUUACAGUUUUCUGGUCUGCAAACUUCUAAGGUUGUUUCAGAGGGCUUUUUGCAAUGGAUUUAAAGCAAAUUGGUAUAUUCAAAUACUCUAUGGCAAUUAUGUCUCACCAAACAUCAGGAUCAGGAAAUAAGUGGUCCCAGGGGUUGCCAGAGCCAUAUUUCUGCUUUCUACCAUGGGCAGCUGGGGCUGCUCUGAGACACUUUCUCAUGUCUUCAAUAGCACUGGGACUUGGCCAUCCCCUGCUUGUUCUUACACACACGUGGGAGGUGAGGGUUGGUAGCUCCCAUGCCACGUGUGUAUGGUCUGCAGCAUACACACCACAGCAGGAGUUCAAUCCACACUGAAGCAUUUCUAUAAAAUAUAUUUGGUUUUGCUAGAUCCAUGUUUCCUCUAAAUACCCUGAUUAACCUGAUACUCAUUAGGAACAAACAAUUAACUUAGUUCUUGGGGCAAGAAUAACACAGGGGGGGCUGUCAGAGUUCUAACUCCCAAACAAAAACACGGCGGUGUGACAGUGGAAGGAGUGCUGCAGGCGUGGAAGGGAAUGAGUGGGUUGUGGGCUCGGUCUCUGAGGGGACCUAACUCCUUGCAGGAGCCAAACUGAAGCAGCAGAACAGGAGUUGUAGCCUCUGUGUUCCCCCUCCCUGUGGGCACAGGUGUGUCCACACCCACAUACAGACACCUUUAAAGACGGGCAGGUAUUGCCCAAACUUUGUGGCUGUAAAACAGACUCAGAUAUGUCACUCAAAGGAAAUGACUGGAGACAGUGUGAUGGCUUUGGAGUUCUCACAUCAGCCCUGCCAGCUGCUAAAUUGUAGAGACUAACAGCUUCUGUUAACGCUUGUUAAUGAUAAUGUGACUAUUAGGGGACUCCAUAAAAUGUCUGUUGUUUGCCGGCAUUAAAUGUGUUCCCAGUUACCGGGGUGCAGAGAGAGGCUUGGCUCCACAGUGUUCCCCUUGGAGAAAAAAAUGAGCCAACAAUGUUUUAACUUCUGAAGUUACUUGUGCCAAGUCACCUCAAAGUCUGCUUGUAUUUUAUCCAGUGUAUCCAUGGGUUCCCAGAACUCUGCCUGAUGCUUCCCACUGCUUGAAGGAAACAUAGUGUGUUUACUGAUGCUGCUCACAAGAGGUGGUUGUCUCUUUAAGGUGAAGGCUGCAACCGACUUUCAGUACUUUGGCAUCCCAGUAAAAGGGCUCUUUUAACCCCUAGUAGUGGCAUUGUAUCCUGUAGGGAUAAGGGUUACAUUGCAGAAGGUCUUGGCUUCCUGCCUGUCACUUGUAGCACAUGAGAGCCACCUACCAUGGCGUCACCGAGACCUUCGAAUCCUUGCUCUGGGGCACUUGAGAUAGUGUGGCAGGCAGGCACUAACCCUCCAAGGUCCUCAGGGCUCUCACAUGAACCUCAUCAGGUUCUGUGCAAGGACAUCCAAGGAAAUGUGCAGGUGAAGGUCAGUGAUUUCACCAUUCACGUGUAAAGUGGGAGCCUUUCAAACCUGCCCUCUCUCUAAUGUAAAGAAGGAACUUACCCUGUCCUCAGAAGCUCCUCGUUUGGCUUUCAGGGAUCCUUGGUUUGGUACCUAGCUCUCUGCCUCUGUUUUGUGGGAGGAAGAGCACUGGAAGCACUAUUUGCAAUAUUUGCACUCCUAUGAAGAUUUUACUUCAAAAGCAUUGCAUAAAUUAAACUGCAGUUAUCCCUGCUCGAAAUGGGAGCCUGAUGAUGUGCAAAGACAAGUCUAUUUUGCAGAAUCUUGAUGUUACAAUUUACUUCUGCCAAUGUCUUUAUUUUAAAAAUAGGUUUUGGGAUGUCCAUGCCCCAGUUUGCCAGUUCAAGAAACACCUGUGAUGGAUAACAGCACAAUAACAAAGUGGAUAUUGCAGUAUGAAGAUUUACUGAGAGAAGGGGAUAAAGAAGGAAUGUGACAGAGUAGGAAUGCUGGGUAAAUGUUAGUUUAGAGGUUAUUCCAGAUUUAAGUGUUUGCACAGAGAGAGAGGAGUGAAUAUAUCUGGGUUUAUACCAUACUUGUACUUCAGGUUCCUCUCAGCAUGGUUUUGAUAUCAGAACAUUUUUGGAUUUGUUCUUCUCUCUCCAAACCCUGAUUUAGGGCAGCUCCUCUCUGCAAAGUUUUCUUUUUUCCCUAAUCCUCAGAAGACAUUUCACCCCUGGGGUGGAAAAAUAAAAUCGCUCCUGACUCUUCUGGCCCUUCAGAAAGCACUGUUAAUCCUCAAAAGAUCUUCCCCGUCACCUUCAGCCCUGUCCCGUGACCAAGGCCCCUUGUCCUACACUUGGUAAACUGGGGGCAGAGUUACCAUCGAGUUCAUCCGUGGCUUAAUACAGUGAAGGCACUGUCAUAUUCCUUACAGUUUUAUCUUAUCACUCUGAUAAAAGCAGCAUGACUGUGCGAGCUGUAGAGGGAAGACAGAUCAAGAAGAACAAUGAAGCUGCUGAAGAGCCAACCCCGCUUCUCCUGAGGCUCAUGAAAAGACUCUCCCUCCCUCUGGGGCACUUGGGGCCAGCCCUUGGUGCCCUCGGCUUGCCCUGGGAGAGCCCCUGUUCCAGGCAGGGCAGGCAUGCCCUGCUCCUUGCAGGGGAAUGAGGAAAUUGUACUUGCAUUAAGCCCACUCCCCCACGGGAACCCGCGGGAGCUCCAUGGGCAGGGGAGCAGAGCAGCCUUUGUCCCCGGUCCCGUGCCUGGCACACCUCCAUGUGCCACGCACUUGUCAGGGGCCCUGCGUGGAGCUGGGCAGUGACUGGGGCCUCAGAGGACAGGAGUGGAGCUGUGCUGCUCUGCAGCACUUGAACAUCAGGUUCAGCUUCUUUCUUGAAGUUUCGGAUUGCAGGGAACAGUGACCUAGGAAGGUGUUGAUGGGAGUUUUUUUUUUUUUCCAGUCCUGCUUCUAACUGGUUUUAUCUAUGAUCUUUAAAAUGAUCCUGCUUCUGUCUGUUCCACUGACUUGCCACUGGCAAGUCUUCGUGUCAACAGGUUUUAUGAAAUGAAAGCAGGAUGUGUGAGCUACCCACUAUGGACCAAAUGUCCUGUUUUUUCCACGUUCCUCUGUUCCUAAUGGAUGCUUUGUUAGCAAAGCAGUGGGGCACCUUGUUCCUUUGCUGUCGGGACUAUCAAUUUCUCAUCCUUGCCUUCCUGAACAUCUUAACAGCCACUUACAAGUUUGCUUCUGAGCUGUAGCUUAAAUUGUUACUAAUUUCUUGGUUGAUGGGGCAACUUUUGGAGAACAGCCCAUCAAAAUCCAUUCUGGAGGGUGUAUUGCUCUUCUGCAUUUUUCCAGCCUGCUGGAUAAAACAGAGGUAUCAGGGAAAACAUGGCCUCGGGAGGCUGCUUGACCACGUAAAAUUUCUGCCCCGCUUUUCUGUCAUGUAGGACAUAGAAAUGUUUAGCCUGUUUCUUAUACACAGCUUAUGUGUGUCUUUUACCCUCCUAUGGCUUUUCUCAUUCUCAUACUCCAUGGAGCCUGUUGUUCUCCCUAGCCCUCCUGUGACUCCCUUCGUUGCACCAGGAGACAAUGAAGGAGCACUCUCAAAUUAACCUUACUACAAGCCAGCCUGGAAGAACUCUUGCUUGGAAGCAGUUUUCCUGUUUUCUGCCUCCACAAGGCUGGUAUAUUCUGUAAGAGGUGAGGACGCUGAGCAGUCAGAGAAGUGUCAUAACACAUUAUUUUGCAGAUGACAUCUAAAGGAAUCCUGUACUCAUAUUUUAUAAUGUAUGGGCUCAACAGAAUAUCUGAGACAGCCCGAAACUACAUGGCUUUCUUGCAAACUUCUGUAUAGUCAGAAAUAAAGGAGACUUAUGGUCUAGAAACAACCAAAAAAACAAAGCUUACCCCUGUUCCAUCUCCAGUCACCUCUUGUACAAACUCUUAAAGGGUUUAUCUGUUAAUGUUUUUUCAGCUUCAUACAUUAGGCAUCUUCCUCUGUCCCAUGUUUGUCACCACAUUUCACCUCGUCCCUCACCUUGUACUGUUGUUAUUCAUCCCCUUCUUCUCACCCACUUUAUCUGUUUUCACUGGCUUCAUUGCAGCUUCCUCUGACCUCACCUGCUUCAGGUCCCAUAACUCUACCCAUGCCUGUUCCCUCUCUUCUUUCCCUGACUUUUCUCACAGUAUUUCUAUACCUCUGAUUCUCCUUUAUAUCUCUGCUCCAACCCACAUGACCAUUUCUUGUUAUCCAUGUUAUCCAUUCUGUGUUAUGCAUUACUGUCAAAUUUUCAACUCAAAAACAGGAUAUCCCAAACAGAAAAAGCAUUAAAAUAAUUUUUAGGACCCUGAACACCUCCUGUCUCAGUCACUAAGGAUGUCAUUGCCAGCCUCUGUUCCUUCUGUCUGUUCCUCAGCCCUGUAACCAGAGCAUCAUCUAUUCUGACCCCUUCCCAGCCAUUGCAUUCAGGCUGUGUUAAUCUUGCUGGGUCUCCGAAAUGCAGAAUUUCCUUUCCUAUCCAUCUGUCUUCCUGUAGAUCCUAUUCAGCCUAUCUUUACUUCAGAGCAUCAUUAUUAAGCUUUUUUGUUCUGCCUGUGUCCAGUCUUGUACUGAAAAGAUACAUUUUCCUAGGCCAUUGUAUGGACCGUGCCUGCCUGUCUUUGCUACUCUCUGCUUGUCCCCUGCUCCACCACAUCUAUCGUAACAUGCUUUGUUUUGUUGCCCAGGCCAUUCCUGCCUGUACUGCUCCCCUGUCAUCUGUCACUCCACACUGAGAGAGAAUUUUCCACCUUCAGUCAACCCCCAAAGCAGGCCCAGCCCUAGCCCAGCCCAUCCUGGGAAUGCGUGAUGCCGUGUGUGUGAUGCUGGAAGCUCCCUGGCUCACGGGAGCGCGUGGGAUGUGUUGUGUCGGCACGUGGCUCACGGCAGCAACACGUUCCUCUGGCACCAGAGCUCCAGGCCAGGAUAAUAAUUCCCAGAUGCUUCAAACAUGUUAGUAGUUAUUGUUGCUGUUCUUGAAAAUAAAACCUGCUUUAGGAGAAUUUCGAAGAUUUUCUAGCUUUAGUAGAGUCUGAAAGCAAAAGACUGGUUGCUAAGCAGAUUAUGGGUUUUGGUUUUUUCUUUUAAUUAAUUGUAGUCAGAGGUGGCCAAUCUGCAGUGUCCCAGUGUGCCCAUGCCUUAAUCUCUGCACUGCCCCAGGAAAUGGUCAGGCCAAUUUUCUUUCCAUUGAUAAUUAUCUCGUGAAUCUUAGUACUCCAGCACGGGAACAGCUUGCAGUGUUUUGGCAGGAUGACAUGAGUAAUCCAUCCAGGGAAGUACUGGCUGUAAAAACUGUGUGGGCUUGAACCAUGCAGUACGAGCUCGGAGAAGAUGCAGUGGGAGUAACUGUGCUCUAGUAACACGGUGUUACACACUGUAAAAAUUCAAAGCAAAUCGUGAGUCUCUGACAGACUGUUUUCCAUUUUAGAAAUACACGAUCAUAUGCAGCUGAAGAAGUUGUACUUGUUCUGAGGUUUUCUGGCCGUGGCUCAGUAGGAAUGAUAUCCUUUUGGGAGGUGGUAGCUGCAGUUGUUACUGGGAGUUAAUUCAGUGCAUAGCAGGGUUGAUAGUUGCUUCAUUUGGAUGCUGGAUAAAGUGUGAGAGUGGGAUAUUUGGGAGUUCAGGAAACUCGGCUUCCAUGGAUUGAUUUGCAGGUAGUAAUGCUCUCCCCUCUCACUAUUUCAUUGUCAUGCUUUCUUGUUUUCAGUUGCUGAGCUGAAAACUUGUCCAUUGAACUGAAAAAUUUGUCCAUUGAACAUCCAUUCAGCCUGAAUUCUUUCUUGAAAGAUGCAUUUGAAGUGCUUUGUCACCCUGGUGUUAUUAGAUAGAAGUAUUUUUAUCACCUAAUUAAAAAAAUAAAAAUCAAUAGAAGCUUCUUCCCCAAGAAGCUCUGCAACAGCUGUUUUAUGAAAAGAGUAAGAAUAAUUUGGUGAUUUUUAUGUCAAAGUAUGGUUAAAAGGGGAAAAAAACGCAGUCAUACAGACCCAGGUGAAAUCUGUUACUCUGGCUGUUAAACUGUUGGAGGUUUUUGCAAGUACUGGACACGCUCUCUUCCUCUGUAGUUCUUCAUGCUCAGCAUCUGAACACCCAGCAAUGCCAAGCAGAGGACAGGGAAGUUCAUGUUUGUGUCUGUGGCUUCACUGGUGCAAAAACAGAGAGUAAUGCUGCCUCAGAAGGUAUCCUAUUUAGCAACACCUUUGGAAAACUUGUAAAGAAGUUCAUAUUUGUGUGCUCUGUGCUGUGUUUGCAUGGUAUGCAAAGCUCUGCACAGAGCCAGCAAACAGCACGGAGCUGCUGCCUGGUUUGUCCAUGUGCUCUGCCCUGAGCAGGCAGUGAGGCAGCACAGCUGGGGCAGAAGGUACCUGUCUGUGUGUCAGAUGGGCCCCAUCCAGGCUCAGUUCUGGCACUUCUGCCUCUGUUGCUUGUUAAUAUUUUGAUAUAUUUUUCACCUUGUUGGAGAGAGGGUAUUGAUAAAUGACCCAGCAAGAGUGUUCUUUUUUCUUACAGGGGUUUUUAGGGCAGUUUUUAUUUGUGCCUACAGUACUAAUGCAUCCUUGGCUUUAAGAGGAGUUGAACUGUGCUGUGUCUUGUACCUGUAGCAAGCACAUCCCUGUUUGUGAUAAGUCGAGGAUAGGAAGUCCUGGAAGUGUGCUCCAGCAUGGUAGGUAGUGUGCUACUGGGAGCCUUGCUUUCCAAGUUUGCUCUCUUGAGAGAGGGGAAAGGUGCUGUUGGCAGGGCUGAUCCCCUUGUAUGACUGCCCUUGGUGGCCUCGCUCUGGGAAAUGGGCUCUUUGGCUUCCCAGCGUGAUGGGAACUGCACUGCUUGUCUCCUCAGUUAUUUAUUUGCCUGUCCUACUGCCGCACCUGUGCUUCCUAUUGCAGUUAUUAUUUUUUCACAUUCAUGUACAUGUGCCUUUCAGUUCCCCAUUCAGCUGCAGAGUAUUGAAAUGCUCUUUUCAUUGGCCAGCAGUGGGUUUGUCUGUACAACUCCUGGCCUCCUAAAACUGACAACUAAACCAGUCUUCAAAAGCUUAGGCCCCGUUUGCUGCACAUACAAGCACAGUGACGAGUAAGGACUGGGCAAUAUUUAGUAUCAUAUUGAUGAAAAGUGAAGGCUUGUCUUUCUGUUUUUAUUUUAUCUAGUAUUAGACCGGGAGUUCUUGAAUAACUCAUUCUCUGAAGGCUUGGUCACUGGCCAUCUUCUGAGGCUGCAGCUUGGCUUUGUGUGUGCCCAGGCCUUUGAGGCUGUGCUGUGCUCACCACUUGCUCUGUUGGAGUGGCAGCUUUAUUCCCCUGAUGCAGUCCUGGCUGAGGAUGGCUCUUAGAGGAAGAAUUGGAAGGAAAUUAUCACAAUUGCAAAUUAGAUUCCAGUGGAGAUUGUGCAACAAUUAUUUGAAAUAUGCUCCCUCAGUGAUAGUUAUACAAAGUAAGUCCCACUGUAUUACAAGCCACGAGGUAAAACUUUCAGCUAUUUCAUCUCUUGCUGAUGCCACCUACCACAGAAGCAUGUCUGAUCAGUGAGGAAUAAGAAUGAGGCUUUAUUUCCAUCAUGGAAAGAUGCCACAUGGUGUUUAGAGAGUGCAGCAGGAGCUGGAGAGCCCCCCCCACUGCAAACACUUUGAGUUGCCAUGGAAGUAACUCCCCCGUGCACAGUCUCUGCCAAGGACCUGUGAGGGGUUUCACUGCGUGGGGGUGAAAACAAAAGCCAGGUCACAGCUAGAGUCACUCUGCAGCUUUUGUCCUUGUCAAGACCAGUUUCUAUUCACUGUGGGGUCAGAAUGGUGACUGCAACUUAUCAUUAAUUGUGCGAUUCUACAAGAUGUACACAAGGUAAACAUGUUUUUUGUGCCUGGGCAGUGUAGUGCAGGAGGGCACUUGGGUCUGCACAUCAGAAGAGAAAAGGAACAUAGGUGUGGCCUAGGCUGUUUCUUAGAGACAACAAAAUUAGAUGUAAAUGUGACCUUCAUUACUAUUUUGUAUCUUUUUCUUUUUUUUUUUCUGCAAUUUCAUCUCAACAUGAGUUUCCCUUGAAUUUCUCCUUUCAGGCAGGCUCAGAGUAGUGUCAAGAAGUGCCCUUUCAGAUGUCUUUAUAGACAUUCAGGCAAACUUUCUGUGCUUAUACACAGAAAGUUCACUUUUCUGUGCUUCAAAUGCUCAAGCAUGUUCGUGAGUGGCAAAGAUUUUAGGAAACUAUUGGAGAUCACCAUGGAUUUUAGAAACUUCUCAGUAUCCUGUGACACCACCAGCGUAGCUCUGUCUAGUUGAAUCACUGGAGUUUAUUUAUUUUCAGUGUAACUAAGUGCCCGGAGAAGACGGUAGUUGUUGUGCAGCUUUCAGAAGAGCAAGUGUGAUCAUGCUUCCCAUUCACCAUGAUUAGCUUCUCUUGAAGAUCCUCCCAAAUACUGCUCAGUGGCUUAUGUCCAAACUCAGUCAGUCAUGAAAACCCUUCAAAGCCAGACAAGAUUUGCAGAAUGCCCAGGAGUUGAACAGUGCAAUGAUGUGAGAACUGUGGACCUGAGGAACAUUCAUUAAAUGGAAGCCUGCAAGCUUAGGGAUUGGACUGUUAUGCCAUGGUGCAUUUGGCAGGGAGAAAUAGUUUUUUAAAGCCAUUAAGCAAAUGCAGGCCAAAAACGCAAACACCGUGAGCUUGAGCAGCUUGUGGAUCCCAGUAGUUUGCAGCGUAUGUGAGGGUUUUUUUACCAGGUCUUGUCCUACACAUUAUUCUCCUUGUUCCAUAUUUAAGUUAGAGAGAAGGAGAUUUGCAGGAUCUUUACAUUCAGAAAACAGAAACUGGCAUAAUUCUAGACUUGAUUUUAUGAUGCCUAAGAAAGACAGCUAUCUGAAACAGUGCAGAAGCAUAAGGAGACAGUGGACGUUUUGACUGCUUAGCCCUUUCUCUAUAGCCCCUGCUGAGGUCAGCACAAUUUGGGGAAAAACUCCAAAAUCAAAGAAAACUACCAGUACUCUUAAACAUUUCCCCUUUCAAAUCUCUCACCUGCUGUGUUCCAGGAUACCUACAGGAACUGUACAGAUCCCCAAGAAACAUUAUGGGCAUUGAUGUGCUAACACCUGAAAAAAGGCAUCUUUUUUUAAUGUAUUCUCUGCAUUGUGAGAGCAGCUGAGAGCAUUCUGUCCAUACCCACAUCGUGUGGCUGCUCCCUCAUUGCCCUUCCCAGAGACAGAUGCUACCGUGUUUAGGGGGAGAACCAUGACUUCUGGUUCCUUCUCCCAGAAAUGUGUGUGUCUAUAUAGACACAUGUUGGGUUUGGGGAUUUUUUUUUUCAUGUUUGAAACUGUUGUGUAAAAUGCAGAGUCAUCCUGUUGGAUAAUUGCAUCCUCUGUGGAGCAUCUGCAGCUCCAUGCGUUAUCUGCACUAUUGUCUAGCCCUAAUUACAGGUGCUGGACUGCUGAUUCAGAUUUCUCAGUUUCAUGUGUGGGGUAAGCACGUGAGAACUGGAAGAUAUGAAAUUACCUCCUGUCAAUGAAGAACUUAAAUACUGGGUCCUUCUUUUCCUCUCCUGUGGAGUGCUAUUGCUGCUGGCUGUUGAGUAAGAGGUGGGCUCUGCUUUGCUGGCUAGAGGAAAAAGGCUAUAGUCAAAGAGCUCUCCAAGGUCUAUCCCUGCCUUUCCAAGGAGGAGUGCCUUUUCAUCCUGUCCCUGAUCCGACAUGGGUGGGAGCUAUGCUUAGCUGGGGCAUCUUUGAGUGUACCCCAGGCAGAUUGAUGCUUGGUGAACUUUGCAGUCCAGCAGCAAAAGUUAAGCUCACAAAAGGGCUCUGUAGAGCUGAAUAGAGGUUUUCUGGUUGCAGAGAUUUGAGGUUUAAGUGACUCAGGCCUACGGAGGUGUUGGCAGAGGGAGCCAAGUCCUUUAGACAUUCUGGCUCCAGGAUCCUGCGAGGAAGUGGAUGGUGGAGUCCAACAGGAGCCGCUUCUCCCGGGCCCCCGGUCACAGGGCUGCACCUUCCCGUCCCCCUGCAAACAGCCCGCACUUGUUGCUCCCUCAGGUGUGUGGGGAGCCGGGUGUGCCCUGCCCGAGCCCGGCCCUGUCCCACGGCCGGCUAUUCCCAGCCCCACCGGACCUGGGGAUUUGCUUCUGGCAGGGCUGGUCUCUGUUGCUGGCACAUCUCAGCGCGGGUGGGAGGAUUUAAAAAAGCAGCCGCCUAAUCCAGCGCUGACCGUCCUUAAGAGCCUCCCCUGCACCCCACGGCUCGCUCGGCGUUGCUAAGGCCUCGUGUAUCCUGGAGACGGCGCCCAGCAAAUCGCGGAGCCGCUCUCUGGGAAGCCAAUAUCGCAGCCGGAUUGCGCUGCUCCGGCACGUCCUGCCAGAAGGAAUUCAGUGUCUUGCUGCUGCCAGAGCCAUGGCGACGGCUCCCUCGGCAGAGAUUCGCGGAGCCCCAAGGAUGCGGUGAGCGCUCCCCCUGAGCCGGGGGCGUUCGGCACAUGUGCUGUGCGGGACCGGCAAUGCCGUGCCGACAUUUAGACUCCUGCCACUGAGAGCUGCAGGCAGCUUUGGUUCACAGCCCUCUGCCCCAUCCGUGCCCGGCUGUACAGCAGGCACUUAAGCUUUUCUGGUGUUUUUUUUUCUCCUGGGGGCUGAGGCCAUGGCAAAGGUCCCCGACCGAAGCAGACACAAAUGGAGUGCGCUUCACACUUUCCUCCGCUGCAACAUGAACCCGGAGACCCAGCGGGUAGUGGUCUUUGUCAUCCUGCUCUUCCUCAUCAUCGUCAACGUGGUGCUGAUGUUUCUUUUGGCAUUUCACUGAAGGAGGACUGCCGGUAGUGGUGUGGUGCAUGGGGGUUUCCAGGACUGGGCAACAAAUCAGCAGGUCAUGGGAGAGUGAUGGUUGGAGUACUGAGGGCACUGACAGGAUCUAGAGGACUUAGGUGUCCUCAGCCACAGGUAACUAUCCCCACCCUUUGGUAGGAACUUCCCUGGCUAUUUCAGCAAAAGUAAAAUGGUUGAAAGCAAUUUCAGUUGAUUUGUUUUGCAUUAUAAUAAUCAGUUCCCACAUCUUAGGUGAGGAACUGAGAACUUCUUAUGCCACUCUGGAGUUUGAAGAAUCCCAUUGAGUGGGACUCAGGUGGACGUGCCCCUGGCAAGGCUCCCUCAGGCUGUGCUCCGAGGCACAGCUCUGCCUCCUCCACCUUCCACCAGGGCUGCUGCCCUCCUCCUGGAGCACUCCAUAAAGGCAGCUUUCAAAGCUUCUCCUUCUCCUGUGGGGGACCCUCCUCCUCUUCCCAUCUGUUUAAGCCACUUCUGAGGGGGGAAUAAGGGCUCAGAUGAUAUAAAUAAAAGGGAAUAACGUAAUUAAUGUCAGUCAGAAUGGUUUUGUGGAAAAUAGUUCUUACCAAAUAAAUGUGAUGACAAAUUU